AUCUUACUAUGUUGCCCAGGCUGGUCUCGAAUUCCUGGGCUCAAGUGAUCCUUCCGCCUCGGCCUCCCAAAGCGCUGGGACCGCCCGCCUGGGCCACCACGCCCGGCCUUCCCUGGCCUCUUUCACACCUGAGUUGUGGCUCAUGAGUCACCUUGUGACCUCCUCUCCCCCGACAGUGUUUUAGGGUUACCGGUCUUGUUGCGGUGUCUAUGCCCCUGUGCAGCGCUGUGGGAGCAGGGCUGUGUCUGGGUUACCCCAGCAUCCCCAGGGCCCAGCCCAGUGACCACACCUGGAAGCGCUGGUGUCUAAAUGUGCGGAUAAAUAAAACACAGCCACCCAGCAUCACCGCUGUGGAGUGACAGUCCCCGCCAGGUUACUUCAGGGCGGAUAUCUGUGGCCUGAACCCCAAAGGCCAGGCGGUGAGUCCAGGCCACGGUGCCCAGCGAGGAGCAGGUGUCCCCGAAAACCCAAACACCCCAGAGGGGAUGUGAGAACCACCGCAGAGAGCAGGCCCAUCACACAGACGGGCGCAGAGGCAGGAAAUUAGCUCAAACGCAGCUUAGGGAAGGAAGCACGCCCAUCUCUACUGCUGUCGUGCUGCCCACGAGUGCCCCAUAUGUGAGUUCUGAUAAACUCACCAAGCUGGACUCCGCCCAGUCGUUCUUUGGUCUCUCGGCAACUCCUACUUUGGGGUAAGGUUUUAAAUGUGAUUCUCGGUUUUUCUCAUUACAAGUGGUCAUCAGGAAAACACAAACCAAAACCACAGUGAGCUCCCACUGCACCCCACCAGCAUGGCUAGAAUCAGAGACAAACUUUCCACAGGGCCCAGCCGCCUCACUCCAGGCAUAUACGGAGAGAAACGACUCACAAAUGCACCCAUUCUACUGCAGCGUCGGUAAUGCUCAACAGGCGGAAACCACCCAAAUGUCCACCCCCUGAAGCUGGAGACCAACCCUAACAAUAAGGUGGCCAGGCCAGUGAGACAGCUCCCAUCUGCAGCUGGAGGCACUGAAGCCAGAGGACCACGCCUGCUCUGCUCAAACUCUGCAAUGCCGAUGUGGACGGCGGGUCUUCAAAGUGGUCUCCUCUGCCUUAGGAACACAGCAAGAAAAUGACGUGCAUUCUUGAUUUCACAGCUACUGGAGGAGUCAUCGGCCAGAUCGGCCGAGCAGUUGUUUCUUUUUGACCCGAUAAAAUUAUUUUUAGAAUAGCUCUCUGUUUUCCUGCUCAUGUUUGGCUUAGGAUAAAUAUAGAAAUUGUGCCUUCCUCAGCGUAUGCCACCUGGGUGGCGCAUGAACUGACAAAAGAGAAACUGCUGAGCACUAGCCCAGGAUGAAUAAUUGACCACAGGAAUCUAAAUAUUCAAGAAUAUUAAUGUGUAUUCUGAAGUUAUAGAAAUUAGCCAGUGUUUCCCUGGUGUGAGGACAGACAAUUGGGAAGAAAACAGUCUGGGUAAGACUGAAAUAGCUGAUUACGAGAGCAAAGAUGCCGACCACAAGAGCAGAAUGUAGAUAUGAAACAAAGCUUUAAAUUGGAAAACCAGUUUUAUUUUGGAUAGUUGAAAACAUCCCAGUUCAACCAAGUGUAGGAUGCAGCUGUCUUUUAUGAAGCAUGAGUGCCCAUGGAGGUGCCCAGAUGCCCCUCGAAUCCAGUGUGAAUGGCCUUGUUACUAAGGCCUUAAAUCUAAGAUGCUGCUGAUUUUAGGGUGCACUGUUAUUUCCAAGAAAGGGAGAAAUGCUGCCAAUUAAACUGUUCAGUUUUUAUUUUGUA